GAAGUGUCCGGCGAGAAUGGAAUGAUUGUCACGAUGUCGUUAACGUGACGACUUGGCUUCCGCUUUCUCUAUCUACAUGGAUAUAAAAGGCGGCAAAUAGCGAAUCAUAUGUAUCCGAACGGGCCACCGCCGCCGCCGGCGAAGCUUUUAAUAACGUUCCUUGCCGGAAUCGAAUCAACUGACGCCGUCGGCUUCCGCUCCUCGCGCUCCCCGAGAUUUUACUUAGCAUGGAAAGAACCAGAGGGUGCCGUAUCUCCACCCAUCUCGGCUGUUUUACUCCUCACUCUUCUCCUUCCCAUGAUAUGGGAGAAGAUAACGAGAAUAAGCAAGAUCAAUUGUCAUCAUCUAUGAAUAUGGAUUGGAAGUCUGCAACUUGUGCUGUGUGCAUGGAACCACCACACAAUGCAGUCCUACUACUUUGCGCUUCUCAUGAAAAGGGCUGUCGCCCCUACAUGUGCAACACCAGCUACCAACAUUCCAACUGCCUUGAGUUAUUCAAGAAGGCAUACACAGUUUCCGUAUCCACCAACCAGAAAACAUUGCCACAACAUAGUUCAGCUAUUUGCAAUAAAUCAAAGGUAUUGGAGCUUCCAUGUCCACAAUGCCCUCUCUGCCGUGGUCAGGUGAAAGGGUGGACUGUAAUAGGACCAGCUCGGAAGUACCUGGAUAACAAAAGAAGGAGCUGCAUGCAGGGUGAGUGUUCCUUUAUAGGAACAUUCCUGGAGCUACAGCAACACAUAAGAGAGAAUCAUCCAUUUCCCAAACCUCUGGAGGUAGAUCCUGAGCUUGAAAAGAGGUGGAGAGAGAUAGAGCUUGAGAGAGAAAGACAGGAUGUCAUCAGCUUCAUCAGCUCUUCCAUGCCAAACUCAGUGAUACUGGGAGAUUAUGUGAUAGAUCGGGGGGAGCUUCAUAACAGCUUAGAUAAUGGCAUUUUGUACGGCGCCGAACACCGAGUUUUUCGAGAUCUUAAUGAUGUUUAUUAUCAUAGAACUACAAAUGUUCCCAGAGUACAUCGUCACAGGCGGCAGCGGCGGCGGCAACGGAGGAUACAGGGGAGAUGGAUGCAUGGCUUUAGGCCUUUUUUGGCAAGAUGGAACUGGAUGUAUCAUUCAUCAUUCUGUUACUUCCGAACGUUGUGUCAUGUGGAACUUCAAAGCUCAGCAAAGAGAAAAAUUAUUCUGAGUGGACACCGGACGGCAUCCGAAAGAUCAAUCAGAAUACAUCAUGUUACUUUUUUAUUUGGUACCGUUCCUCGGUACCCUGUAUACCAGGUGAUAUGACGCAUUCUGAUUGGUCUCCGGACCGUUCGGUAUCUGCAUUGAAUAAUUUUUCUAGCAACGAUGAUAUUUUCUAUGAUGCCUAUGAUUUUGAGCUUCAGAUGGAUGCUCCCUGGAGCUUGAACCGGCAAAUGACGUUCAGCUGAAGAUGCUCUUAGUCAAAUGAAUUAUUUUUUUGGCUCUUUGCAUGGUUCAUGGUUGUAGAGGAUCAUUAGUCUACUUCUAUUUUGAAUUGUAUAUUCUAUAAAUCCUGAAUGCCUAAAUUCUUUGUAUUUUACAGAAAAAUGAGAAUGACUAUAAAUAUCGAUGGUAAUUCUAUUUCA